rnacentral:piRNA from 1 species
UUAAACCGUUGUGCCAGACUUUGUCGAAC